rnacentral:rRNA from 1 species
GACGAACGCUGGCGGCGUGCUUAACACAUGCAAGUCGCACGGGACCCGCAAGGGUUCAGUGGCAAACGUGUGCGUAACACGUGAGGAACCUGUCCAACGGUGGGGGAUAGCCGGCCCAACGGCCGGGUAAUACCGCGUACGACCUUCGGGGGGCAUCCCCCGGGGGUGAAAGCAGCAAUGCGCCGAUGGAGGGCCUCGCGGCCUAUCAGCUAGUUGGUGAGGUCAUGGCUCACCAAGGCAACGACGGGUAGCUGGUCCGAGAGGAUGACCAGCCACAUUGGGACUGAGACACGGCCCAGACUCCUACGGGAGGCAGCAGUGGGGAAUCUUGCGCAAUGGGCGAAAGCCUGACGCAGCGACGCCGCGUGUGGGAUGAAGGUCUUCGGAUUGUAAACCACUGUCGGGAGGGACGAAGCUCUGACGGUACCUCCAAAGGAAGCACCGGCUAACUCUGUGCCAGCCGCCGCGGUAAAAC